AGGCAGAGUCUCACUCUGUCACCUAGGCUGGAAUGUAGUAGUGGCACGAUCAUAGCUCAUUAUAACCUCAAACUCCUGGUUUCAAGCAAUCUUCCCGAGUAGUCAGGACUACAGGCAUGCCCUGCCAUGCCCAACUAAUUAAAAAAAAAUUUUUUUUUAUACACAUAGGGUCUCACUAUGUUACUCAAGCUAGUCUCCAAUUCCUGGCCUUAAGAGAUUUUCCCAAAGCAUUAGGAUUAUAGGCAUGAGCCACCUCACCCAGCUGAAACAGAUAAUUCUUUUUUUUUUUUUCCUUGAGAUGGAGUUUUGCUCUUGUCAGCCAGGCUGGAGUGCAAUGGCGCGAUCUCGGCUCGCUGUAACCUCUGCCUCCCGGGGUCAAGCGAUUCUCCUGUCUCAGCUUCCCCAGUAGCUGGGAUUACAGGCGUCCACCACCACACUCGGCUAAUUUUUUGUAUUUUAGUAGAGAUGGGUUUUCGCCAUGUUGGUCAGGCUGGUCUUGAACUCCUGACAUCAGGUGAUCUGCCCAC
rnacentral:lncRNA from 10 species